rnacentral:rRNA from 1 species
UACGGAGGGUGCGAGCGUUGUCCGGAAUCACUGGGCGUAAAGGGCGCGUAGGUGGCCGAGCAAGGUUGCGGUGAAAGCCCGGGGCUCAACCCCGGGUCGGCCGUGGCAACUACUCGGCUUGAGCACUGUAGGGGCGGGUGGAAUUCCGGGUGCAGCGGUGGAAUGCGUAGAGAUCCGGAAGAACACCGGUGGCGAAGGCGGCCCGCUGGGCAGGAAGGCUCGCAAGAGCCGGCUGACACUGAGGCGCGACAGCGUGGGGAGCAAACAGG